rnacentral:rRNA from 1 species
GGCAGCCGCCGCGGUAAUACCGGCGGCUCGAGUGGUGGCCACUUUAUUGGGCUUAAAGCGUUCGUAGCUGGGUCGUUAAGUCUCUUGGGAAAUCCGGCAGCUUAACUGUCGGGCGUCUAAGGGAUACUGGCGAUCUUGGAACCGGGAGAGGUGAGGGGGUACUUCGGGGGUAGGAGUGAAAUCCUGUAAUCCUCGAGGGACCACCUGUGGCGAAGGCGCCUCACCAGAACGGCUUCGACAGUGAGGGACGAAAGCUGGGGGAGCAAACCGGAUUAGAUACCCGGGUAGUCCCAGCCGUAAACGAUGUGCGUUAGGUGUAUCGACGACCACGAGUCGUCGAGGUGCCGAGGGGAAACCGUGAAACGUACCGCCUGGGAAGUACGGUCGCAAGGCUGAAACUUAAAGGAAUUGGCGGGGGAGCACCACAACAGGUGGAGCCUGCGGUUUUAAAUUGGACUCAACGCCGGGAAGCUCACCGGAUAAGACAGCUGAAUGAUUGCCGGGCUGAAGACUCUGCAUGACUAGCUGAGAAGAGGUGCAUGG